rnacentral:lncRNA from 1 species
UCGAGACUAUUAUCCGCCUUAGGAUGACCUGAUUAGAAUUUACCUGUGAGGGGAGGGUGAUUCUUACAGAUGCAUGUUCUGAUGGUGACUUUGAUGGUGACUUUUGGUUCCGUUGAUCAGAGUCAUAUUUAUAAGUCGGAUUUAUGGAUCGUUAUUUCUGGACGCCGGAGGUUUGACCCCGGUAUUGAUCAGAGGGUUCCGUUUAUUUCGGACCCCUGGGCUGAAUUUAAGGUUGCUCCGUUGGUGACUCGGUUCCUCAGAUUGGGUUCAGAUGACAGUUGACCAGUUGACUUUGGGGUUUCAGAUGGUUGUGAUCAGAGUUCGAGUCGAAGCUUUGAUCCUGUGUCCAGAUAUGCACAGCUUGCCAGUCGUGUCUGCAUCAUGCGCAUCAUAGCAUGUUUAUUUUUCA